rnacentral:rRNA from 1 species
GACGAACGCUGGCGGCGUGCUUAACACAUGCAAGUCGAACGGAAAGGCCCUGCUUUUGUGGGGUGCUCGAGUGGCGAACGGGUGAGUAACACGUGAGUAACCUGCCCUUGACUUUGGGAUAACUUCAGGAAACUGGGGCUAAUACCGGAUAGGAGCUCCUGCUGCAUGGUGGGGGUUGGAAAGUUUCGGCGGUUGGGGAUGGACUCGCGGCUUAUCAGCUUGUUGGUGGGGUAGUGGCUUACCAAGGCUUUGACGGGUAGCCGGCCUGAGAGGGUGACCGGCCACAUUGGGACUGAGAUACGGCCCAGACUCCUACGGGAGGCAGCAGUGGGGAAUAUGGCACAAUGGGCGGAAGCCUGAUGCAGCAACGCCGCGUGCGGGAUGACGGGCUUCGGGUUGUAAACCGCUUUCGCCUGUGACGAAGCGUGAGUGACGGUAAUGGGUAAAGAAGCACCGGCUAACUACGUG